rnacentral:rRNA from 2 species
UUAAGCGACUAAGCGUACACGGUGGAUGCCCUGGCAGUCAGAGGCGAUGAAGGGCGUACUAAUCUGCGAUAAGCGCCGGUAAGGUGAUAUGAACCGUUAUAACCGGCGAUACCCGAAUGGGGAAACCCAGUGUGAUUCGUCACACUAUCAUUAACUGAAUCCAUAGGUUAAUGAGGCGAACCGGGGGAACUGAAACAUCUAAGUACCCCGAGGAAAAGAAAUCAACCGAGAUUCCCCCAGUAGCGGCGAGCGAACGGGGAGGAGCCCAGAGCCUGAAUCAGCAUGUGUGUUAGUGGAAGCGUCUGGAAAGGCGCGCGAUACAGGGUGACAGCCCCGUACACAAAAGCGCAUGUGCUGUGAGCUCGAUGAGUAGGGCGGGACACGUGGUAUCCUGUCUGAAUAUGGGGGGACCAUCCUCCAAGGCUAAAUACUCCUGACUGACCGAUAGUGAACCAGUACCGUGAGGGAAAGGCGAAAAGAACCCCGGCGAGGGGAGUGAAAAAGAACCUGAAACCGUGUACGUACAAGCAGUGGGAGCACAGGUUUACCUGUGUGACUGCGUACCUUUUGUAUAAUGGGUCAGCGACUUAUAUUCUGUAGCAAGGUUAACCGAAUAGGGGAGCCGGAGGGAAACCGAGUCUUAAUUGGGCGUUAAGUUGCAGGGUAUAGACCCGAAACCCGGUGAUCUAGCCAUGGGCAGGUUGAAGGUUGGGUAACACUAACUGGAGGACCGAACCGACUAAUGUUGAAAAAUUAGCGGAUGACCUGUGGCUGGGGGUGAAAGGCCAAUCAAACCGGGAGAUAGCUGGUUCUCCCCGAAAGCUAUUUAGGUAGCGCCUCGUGAAUUCAUCUCCGGGGGUAGAGCACUGUUUCGGCUAGGGGGCCAUCCCGGCUUACCAACCCGAUGCAAACUGCGAAUACCGGAGAAUGUUAUCACGGGAGACACACGGCGGGUGCUAACGUCCGUCGUGAAGAGGGAAACAACCCAGACCGCCAGCUAAGGUCCCAAAGUCAUGGUUAAGUGGGAAACGAUGUGGGAAGGCCCAGACAGCCAGGAUGUUGGCUUAGAAGCAGCCAUCAUUUAAAGAAAGCGUAAUAGCUCACUGGUCGAGUCGGCCUGCGCGGAAGAUGUAACGGGGCUAAACCAUGCACCGAAGCUGCGGCAGCGACGCUUAUGCGUUGUUGGGUAGGGGAGCGUUCUGUAAGCCUGCGAAGGUGGCCUGUGAGGGUUGCUGGAGGUAUCAGAAGUGCGAAUGCUGACAUAAGUAACGAUAAAGCGGGUGAAAAGCCCGCUCGCCGGAAGACCAAGGGUUCCUGUCCAACGUUAAUCGGGGCAGGGUGAGUCGACCCCUAAGGCGAGGCCGAAAGGCGUAGUCGAUGGGAAACGGGUUAAUAUUCCCGUACUUGGUGUUACUGCGAAGGGGGGACGGAGAAGGCUAUGUUGGCCGGGCGACGGUUGUCCCGGUUUAAGCGUGUAGGUGUGUGUUCCAGGUAAAUCCGGUUCACUUUAACACUGAGGCGUGACGACGAGGCACUACGGUGCUGAAGCAACAAAUGCCCUGCUUCCAGGAAAAGCCUCUAAGCAUCAGGUAACAUCAAAUCGUACCCCAAACCGACACAGGUGGUCAGGUAGAGAAUACCAAGGCGCUUGAGAGAACUCGGGUGAAGGAACUAGGCAAAAUGGUGCCGUAACUUCGGGAGAAGGCACGCUGACACGUAGGUGAAGUGAUUUACUCAUGGAGCUGAAGUCAGUCGAAGAUACCAGCUGGCUGCAACUGUUUAUUAAAAACACAGCACUGUGCAAACACGAAAGUGGACGUAUACGGUGUGACGCCUGCCCGGUGCCGGAAGGUUAAUUGAUGGGGUCAGCGCAAGCGAAGCUCCUGAUCGAAGCCCCGGUAAACGGCGGCCGUAACUAUAACGGUCCUAAGGUAGCGAAAUUCCUUGUCGGGUAAGUUCCGACCUGCACGAAUGGCGUAAUGAUGGCCAGGCUGUCUCCACCCGAGACUCAGUGAAAUUGAACUCGCUGUGAAGAUGCAGUGUACCCGCGGCAAGACGGAAAGACCCCGUGAACCUUUACUAUAGCUUGACACUGAACAUUGAGCCUUGAUGUGUAGGAUAGGUGGGAGGCUUUGAAGUGUGGACGCCAGUCUGCAUGGAGCCGACCUUGAAAUACCACCCUUUAAUGUUUGAUGUUCUAACGUGGACCCGUUACCCGGGUUGCGGACAGUGUCUGGUGGGUAGUUUGACUGGGGCGGUCUCCUCCUAAAGAGUAACGGAGGAGCACGAAGGUUGGCUAAUCCUGGUCGGACAUCAGGAGGUUAGUGCAAUGGCAUAAGCCAGCUUGACUGCGAGCGUGACGGCGCGAGCAGGUGCGAAAGCAGGUCAUAGUGAUCCGGUGGUUCUGAAUGGAAGGGCCAUCGCUCAACGGAUAAAAGGUACUCCGGGGAUAACAGGCUGAUACCGCCCAAGAGUUCAUAUCGACGGCGGUGUUUGGCACCUCGAUGUCGGCUCAUCACAUCCUGGGGCUGAAGUAGGUCCCAAGGGUAUGGCUGUUCGCCAUUUAAAGUGGUACGCGAGCUGGGUUUAGAACGUCGUGAGACAGUUCGGUCCCUAUCUGCCGUGGGCGCUGGAGAACUGAGGGGGGCUGCUCCUAGUACGAGAGGACCGGAGUGGACGCAUCACUGGUGUUCGGGUUGUCAUGCCAAUGGCACUGCCCGGUAGCUAAAUGCGGAAGAGAUAAGUGCUGAAAGCAUCUAAGCACGAAACUUGCCCCGAGAUGAGUUCUCCCUGAGACUUAAAGUCUCCUGAAGGAACGUUGAAGACGACGACGUUGAUAGGCCGGGUGUGUAAGCGCAGCGAUGCGUUGAGCUAACCGGUACUAAUGAACCGUGAGGCUUAACCUU